GUGCCAGCCGCCGCGGUAAUACGUAGGGGGCAAGCGUUAUCCGGAUUUACUGGGUGUAAAGGGAGCGUAGGUGGCUCGAUAAGUCAGAAGUGAAAGCCCAAGGCUCAACCUUGGGACUGCUUUUGAAACUAUCGGGCUAGAGUGCAGGAGAGGUAAGUGGAAUUCCUAGUGUAGCGGUGAAAUGCGUAGAUAUUAGGAGGAACACCAGUGGCGAAGGCGACUUACUGGACUGUAACUGACACUGAGGCUCGAAAGCGUGGGGAGCAAACAGGAUUAGAAACCCUCGUAGUCC
rnacentral:rRNA from 1 species